GCUGGCACUGAUUGGGUCACACCUGAAACUUAUGACCUUCCAGAUGAACACAGUACUGGGACUUGCCCAAGACCCACAGCCACUACUUCCUGCCUGCCUGCUGCUGCUGUUUAUUCAAGACCAAAGAAGGGCACUUUAGAUCAAUAAAUGUCCACAGGACAAAAGCAGUGCCAACUGUGGGGCUCACCUUCCUGGAUUCCUGUCUUCUUCCUAGAUCUUGGUCCGAUGAAUUAUGUAUCUGAAAUGGCUGGCAACCUCAGCUGCAGGACACUUUGAGGAGACGGCUGAUUGCAGAUCUAGGGCAGAGAAUGAAUAAGGUCAUUCUUCCUGCUUUGAUCAAGCAAUCAUCAUGUCCCUUUAGUUGACAGUCAGUAUUAACCAUCGCAGGAGGAGAGCAUGAGCUACCUUCCAGAGAGGAUCUUACUCUGUUGCCCAG
rnacentral:lncRNA from 1 species